rnacentral:rRNA from 1 species
UACGUAGGGUGCAAGCGUUAAUCGGAAUUACUGGGCGUACAGCGUGCGUAGGCGGCUGCGCAAGUCGGUUGUGAAACCCCGGGGCUCAACCCCGGAACUGCAUCCGAUACUGCGUGGCUAGAGGUAGGUAGGGGAGAUCGGAAUUCCUGGUGUAGCGGUGAAAUGCGCAGAUAUCAGGAGGAACACCGGUGGCGAAGGCGGAUCUCUGGGCCUUACCUGACGCUCAGGCACGAAAGCUAGGGGAGCGAACAGG